GACGAACGCUGGCGGCGUGCCUAAUACAUGCAAGUAGAACGCUGAAGGAGGAGCUUGCUCUUCUGGAUGAGUUGCGAACGGGUGAGUAACGCGUAGGUAACCUGCCUGGUAGCGGGGGAUAACUAUUGGAAACGAUAGCUAAUACCGCAUAACAGUAGAUGUUGCAUGACAUUUACUUAAAAGUUGCAAUUGCAUCACUACCAGAUGGACCUGCGUUGUAUUAGCUAGUUGGUGGGGUAACGGCUCACCAAGGCGACGAUACAUAGCCGACCUGAGAGGGGGAUCGGCCACACUGGGAAUGAGAAACGGCACAGACUCAUAAGGGAGGCAGCAGUAGGGAAUCGUCGGAAAUGGACGGAAGUCUGACCGAGAAACGCCGAGUGAGUGAAGAAGGGUUUCGGAUCGGAAAGCUCUGUUGUAAGAGAAGAAAGAGAGUGAGAGUGGAAAGUACACAAUGUGACGGUAACUUAACAGAAAGGGACGGCUAACUACGUG
rnacentral:rRNA from 1 species